rnacentral:rRNA from 1 species
GACGAACGCUGGCGGCGUGCUUAACACAUGCAAGUCGAACGGAAAGGCCCUGCUUUUGUGGGGUGCUCGAGUGGCGAACGGGUGAGUAACACGUGAGUAACCUGCCCUUGACUUUGGGAUAACUUCGGGAAACUGGGGCUAAUACCGGAUAGGAGCUCCUGCUGCAUGGUGGGGGUUGGAAAGUUUCGGCGGUUGGGGAUGGACUCGCGGCUUAUCAGCUUGUUGGUGGGGUAGUGGCUUACCAAGGCUUUGACGGGUAGCCGGCCUGAGAGGGUGACCGGACACAUUGGGACUGAGAUACGGCCCAGACUACUACGGGAGGCAGCAGUGGGGAAUAGUGCACAAUGGGCGGAAGCCUGAUGCAGCAACGCCGCGUGCGGGAUGACGGCCUUCGGGUUGUAAACCGCUUUCGCCUGUGACGAAGCGUGAGUGACGGUAAUGGGUAAAGAAGCACCGGCUAACUACGUG